GAUGAACGCUAGCUACAGGCUUAACACAUGCAAGUCGCGGGGCAGCAUGGGGGUUGCUUGCAAUCCCCGAUGGCGACCGGCGCACGGGUGAGUAACGCGUAUCCAACCUGCCCUUCACCACGGGAUAACCCGGCGAAAGUCGGACUAAUACCGUAUGUUGUCCAUUGACGGCAUCCGAUUUGGACGAAAGGCUUGGCGGUGAGGGAUGGGGAUGCGUCCGAUUAGCCAGACGGCGGGGUAACGGCCCACCGUGGCUACGAUCGGUAGGGGUUCUGAGAGGAAGGUCCCCCACACUGGAACUGAGACACGGUCCAGACUCCUACGGGAGGCAGCAGUGAGGAAUAUUGGUCAAUGGGCGUAAGCCUGAACCAGCCAAGUAGCGUGCAGGAGGACGGCCCUAUGGGUGGUAAACUGCUUUUAUGCGGGGAUAAAGUGGCCCACGUGUGGGCUUUUGCAGGUACCGCAUGAAUAAGGACCGGCUAAUUCCGUG
rnacentral:rRNA from 1 species